rnacentral:lncRNA from 1 species
UUUUUUUGAAAUUUAGUAUUUAUUUAUUUAUUUAUUUAUUUAUUUAUUUAUUUAUUUAUGAAUGAUAGUCACAGAGAGAGAGAGAGAGAGAGGCAGAGACACAGGCAGAGGGAGAAGCAGGCUCCAUGCACCGGGAGCCCCGAUGUGGGACUCGAUCCCGGGUCUCCAGGAUCGCGCCCUGGGCCCUAAAGGCAGGCGCUAAACCGCUGUGCCACCCAGGGAUCCCCCCCAAGCCUCUUUAAAAAAUAUUUUCUUGCUCAACCCCCUUCUUUUCCCCCUUCAAAACCUAAUUACUUGCCUCUUGACAAACAGCACCUCACCAUUUACCAGGGAAGCCAGUGAGACUGGUUUCUGCCAUUAUCACUCCACUGAAACGUCUUGAAGUUCAGAGCUUACUCCGCUUGUCUUUUUUGACACAUAAUAGUACUUUACACCCCUGAAUACUUCAUUUGAAAGACUUUGAAUUGGACUCGCGACAUGAUGCUCCCCUGGUUUUUUCCCUAUGUCUGGGGCCCUUCCUCAGAUGAUUUCACCUCUAACCAUCUCUUAAAUCUUGAUUUUGUAAUCACGCACCUUAAGCAAUGCUGUUUACUUCAGGGACGUAUGUUGGUUUUCUUUGGCCUAGAUGUUCACCUGAGAGCCACACUUACAUGUCGUCUUAGCUUAGAUUGCUAAAACAAAGUGCCAUCAGUUAGGUGGGUUAUAAACAAAUUUGUUCUGGACUGUUCUGGAGAGUGAAGUCUGAGGUUACGAUGCCAGCAUGGUCAGGUUCUGUGAGACCUCUCCUCUGGGCUACACAGACUGCUGAGAUAUCCUCAUGUGACAGGAACUUCGUUGGCCUCUUACAGGGAUACUAAUGAGAUCCUGAGGACUCCAUCCUUAGGACCUAAUUACUUCCCAGCACCAUCACAUUGAGAUUAGAGUUCAGCAAAUGAAUUGGGGAGAGGGAGGGGGACACACAGAUAUCUCCCACUUGAAAGUCUCUGUUCUCUCAAAUUCAACAUGUCCUAAGAUCUUCCCCACCUCCAUCUCACACACUUGUCUGGUUCAGGUUCUGUCAGUAAACAGCACUGUGCCCCAUCCUGCCACUUACUUGGAAGUUAAUUUGAUUUUUCCCUCUCCUUCACCUCCAUAUACUGUGAAUCACAAGGCCGUAUAGUUUCUCUUAAAUAUCUCUUGAACUCAUCCUCAAUUUCUAACACCUUAAUGUAGAGCCCCUACCAUCUCACCUGGAGGACUUAAUUUCCUAAAUUUCCUUAAAACACUUUAUUGAGCUGUAAUUCACAAUCACCAAACAGUUCAGUAGUCUUUAGUGUAUUCAUAGAGUCUUGCAGUCACAUAAUCAGAGAACAUCUCAUGAUGCCAAAACCCCAUACUCCAUUCUCCUUUUACCCCCUAAAUGAUCUCUGCUGAUAUCUUUUUUGCUCACACUUUUACCACACUGCAAUCAACAUAAUUUCCCAAAAUUUAUGUCAUGUCUUUGCUUGGAACUUUUAUUGUCCUUGGAAUGGAGUCCAAGUUCCUUUUUGAUUUGUAAGGCCUUGAAGAAUCUGAUUUCUCCUUCCUUUUCUGGCCUACUUUUCUUCCUUACAGUUUACAGUCUCCCUAAAUGGAGAAUUUUAGUUCUUUUAAUAGAUCUAGUCUUCUCUUUCACAUACAUUUUUAUCUGCCUCAAACACUCUUCCCUUUUGCUUAAAUCUAAGGUAACCAUACAUCCUAGUUUAUACUUGUUUUCCCUUUGACUUUUAAAAAUGUUCCUGUUUGGAUGGUAAAUGCUAUGGUAACCCGGCUAAAUUCAAUUUACAUGUUCAUUUCCUUUAGGUGGCUUAAAAAAUCCUACCUUGAGUUCCCUUUAUUUAAAUCUCAAUUUGUCCCCAAUAUUGUCUAAUACUCCUCCAACUAUCUUAUAGUUAACAUGUUUUGAUUGUCUUCACCACUGCUGUGAGGUCAAGGGCUUGCAUCUACCUUAUUUCUGUAUCCUCAACACCUAACAAUGCCUGGCACAUAGUAGACGCAAAAUAAAAUCUUGGGGAUCCCUGGGUGGCUCAGCGGUUUGGCCCCUGCUUUUGGCCCAGGGUGUGAUCCUGGAGUCCCGGGAUCGAGUCCCACAUCGGGCUUCCUGGAUGGAGCCUGCUUCUCCUCUGUGUCUCUGCCUUUCUCUCUCUCUCUCUGUCAUGAAUAAAUAAAAUCUUUAAAAAAAAUAAAAAAAUAAAAAUAAAAAAAUAAAAUCUAUACAAAGGAGUGUAUAGGUCAUAAAGGGAAUUUGAAUUCAGACCACUAUUUUAGAAUUAUAGUGAUUAGUAGUGGGAGUACCUCUGACACUAUGGAGAAAGGAUUUAUCAAAUAAAUGAACAUCAAAUGAGCUGACAUUUAAAAAAAAAAAAAAGAAAGAAAACUUACCAAUAUGUAAAAAAGGAUUUGACCAAGUAAGUUUUAUCCCAAGGAAUGAAAGUUUGGUUUAACAUCUGAAAAUCACAGAGUACACAUCAGCAGAAUAAAGGAAAAGAAUCCUAUGAUCAUCUCAGUAAAGAGAGGAAAAAUUUGACAAAAUUCAAUAUCCAUGUAUGAUAAAAACUCAGCAAAUUAGAGAAGGAAAUUUCCUCAAUCUGAUAAAGAACAUCUAUGAAAACCGCAGAGCUAAUAUACUUAAUGGUGAAAGACUGAACUUUCCCCCUAAGAUAUGGAACUAGACAAAGUUGCCAGCUUUCAUCACUUCUACGUGGAAUUGUACUAGCCAAGGCAAUAAGGCAAGAAAUGGAAAAGGCAUACAGCUUAGAAAUAAAAACUAGAAUCACUUAACAAGUAUCCUAAGCAAGGAUAUAAGAUCAAUACUAAAUACCAGAUAAAAACAAAAGUCAGCUGUUUUUAUGUACUUAACCAUAAAACUUAACAACAUAACAAAAUUAGGGAUAGAUUCAACAAAAAACAUAUAAGACGUACACAACAUUGCUGAGAUUGAUGAAGACCUAAAGAAAUGGAGAGAUAGAGCAUGUUCAUGGAUUGAAUCAAUACUGUUAAGAUGGCAAUUCUCUCCAAAUUGAUCUACAGAUUCAAUGCAAUCCCUAUCAAAAUGCCAGUAUACUUUUUUCUCUUACAGAAACUGAUGUGCUGAUUUUAAAAUUUUUACAGAAAAGCAAAAGAACUGCAAUAGCCAAAACCAUUUUUACAAAAAGAACCAAGUUGGAACACUUACACCAAAAAUUUCAGGUGUGCCUGGCUGGCUCAGUUGGUAGGACGUGUGAAUACUGACCUCAGAAUUAUAGGUUUGAGACGACAUUGGGUGUAGAGAUCAGUUAAAAAUUUAAAAAAAUUCAAAAUUUUACUAUAAUGAGGACAGUGUGGUACUGCACGAGGAUAUAGACAGAAUAUCAUAGAACUGAAUAUAUUUUCAUGUGUUUAGGGUCAAAAUAAAAAAGUAUUUGAGAGAGCAAGAGCAUGUGCAUGAAAGGGGGCAGGAGCAGAAGAAUGCUGAGCAGGGAGCCUGAGGCAGGGCUCAGACCCAGGACCCUGAAAUCAUUAGCCAAAGGCAAACGCUUAACCAACUGAGCCACCCGGGCACCCUUAUGGUCAACUUUGUGACCAAAGUGCCAAGAUAAUUCAAUAAGGAAAGACAGUCUUUUCAAUAAAUGAUGCUUGAACAAUUUGCUGUAUGUUUUAUAUGCAGGAAUAUUCAUAGAAUUACUAGAACAUCUAUGUGAUACUGGUUCACCUGCUGGUAUAUGACAAUAUUUCAAAUCGUUAGUUAUUUCUAGUAUCCUUAAAGAGCUUUUAAAAAUAAAAAGACUAGGAUGCCUGGGUGGCUCCGUUGGUUGGGCCUCCAAUUCUUGGUUUCAGCUCAGGCUGUGAUCUCAUGGGUUGUGAACUGAGCCCCACACGGGGAUCGCACUCAGCAGGGAGUACACUUGAAGAUUCUCUCCCUCUGCCUCCUCCCCUACUCAUGCAUGCUCUUUAAAUAAAAAAAAAAAAAAAAAAAAA